rnacentral:rRNA from 1 species
AACGCGAAGAACCUUACCUGGGCUUGAACUACUCGUGGUAGUUCGCUGGAAACAGUGGACGACCCGCAAGGGAGCGAGCAGAGGUGCUGCAUGGUUGUCGUCAGCUCGUGUCGUGAGAUGUUGGGUUAAGUCCCGCAACGAGCGCAACCCCUAUCCAAUGUUGCUAAUCCCGCAAGGGAUGCACUCUUUGGAAACUGCCUUCGAUAAGAAGGAGGAAGGUGGGGAUGACGUCAAAUCCUCAUGGCCUUUAUGUCCAGGGCUACACACGUGCUACAAUGGUCGGUACAAACCGUUGCAAACCCGCGAGGGGGAGCUAAUCGGAAAAAGCCGACCUCAGUUCGGAUCGCAGUCUGCAACUCGACUGCGUGAAGCUGGAAUCGCUAGUAAUCGCGGAUCAGAAUGCCGCGGUGAAUACGUUCCCGGGCCUUGUACACACCGCGCAUA